UACGUAGGGUCCGAGCGUUGUCCGGAAUUACUGGGCGUAAAGAGCUCGUAGGUGGUUUGUCGCGUUGUUCGUGAAACUCACAGCUCAACUGUGGGCGUGCGGGCGAUACGGGCAGACUAGAGGUACUGCAGGGGAGACUGGAAUUCCUGGUAUAGCGGUGGAAUGCGCAGAUAUCAGGAGGAACACCGGUGGCGAAGGCGGGUCACUGGGCAGUAACUGACGCUGGAGGAGCGAAAGCGUGGGGAGCGAACAGG
rnacentral:rRNA from 1 species